GAACGAACGCUGGCGGCGUGCUUAACACAUGCAAGUCGAACGCGAAAGCCCGCAAGGGUGAGUAGAGUGGCGCACGGGUGAGUAACACGUGAGUAAUCUGCCCUUGAGCGGGGGACAACGUUCCGAAAGGAGCGCUAAUACCGCAUGACCCGGUAGGGACCCAGGUCCCGGCCGGCAAAGGUGGCCUCUGCUUGCAAGCUAUCGCUCAAGGAGGAGCUUGCGCCCCAUUAGGUAGUUGGUGAGGUAACGGCCCACCAAGCCUACGAUGGGUAGCCGGCCUGAGAGGGUAACCGGCCACACUGGCACUGAGACACGGGCCAGACUCCUACGGGAGGCAGCAGUGAGGAAUUUUGGGCAAUGGGCGAAAGCCUGACCCAGCGACGCCGCGUGGGUGAUGAAGGCCUUCGGGUCGUAAAACCCUGUGAGUUGGGAAGAAGCCGUUGCGUGCUAAUACCACGUCGCGGUGACAGUACCAACAGAGGAAGCCCCGGCUAACUACGUGCCAGCAGCCGCGGUAAAACGUAGGGGGCUAGCGUUGUUCGGAAUUACUGGGCGUAAAGCGCGUGUAGGCGGCUUGGCAAGUCGGAAGUGAAAGCCCCAGGCUCAACUUGGGAAUUGCUUUCGAAACUGCCAGGCUUGAGUGCGGGAGGGAAGAGCGGAAUUCCAGGUGUAGCGGUGAAAUGCGUAGAUAUCUGGAGGAACACCGGUGGCGAAGGCGGCUCUCUGGACCGUAACUGACGCUGAGACGCGAAAGCGUGGGGAGCAAACAGGAUUAGAUACCCUGGUAGUCCACGCCCUAAACGAUGGAUACUUGGCGUGGGAAGUUCAAAUCUUUCCGUGCCGGAGCUAACGCAUUAAGUAUCCCGCCUGGGGAGUACGGUCGCAAGGCUGA
rnacentral:rRNA from 1 species